rnacentral:rRNA from 1 species
UACGUAGGGGGCAAGCGUUGUCCGGAUUUAUUGGGCGUAAAGAGCGUGUAGGCGGCCUGAAAGGUCAGCUGUGAAAACUCGAGGCUCAACCUCGAGACGUCGGUUGAAACCAUCUGGCUAGAGUCCGGAAGAGGAGUGUGGAAUUCCUGGUGUAGCGGUGGAAUGCGCAGAUAUCAGGAGGAACACCGGUGGCGAAGGCGGGACUCUGGGCCGAUACUGACGCUGAGGAGCGAAAGCGUGGGGAGCAAACAGG